rnacentral:lncRNA from 12 species
AUGGCGCCGGCGCCCGGGAACCCGGCGGCCGGACGCGGGGAGGGCCGCUCGGAAGCCAAGCCCGACGGCCAGGAGGGCGGGGGCUCGCUCCUCGGCAGUCAGCGCGCAGCCCCGGCCUCCCCCCGCCGCGGCCCCCACCUCCCGGAGGCCGCAGCAGGCCCAGCGCCACCCUCCCGGCCGGCGGCGCUCCACCCUCGCCGUCCCCGCAGCCCGCGCGUCCCCGCCGGCCGGGCGCACUUCCGGUCUGGGCGCACUUCCGGUCUGGGCGCACUUCCGGUCGCUCUAGCCCGCGGGCGGUGCGAGCUCUUGGUGGUAGCGGCCACCGGCGCUCGGGGGCCUGGCUGUGGUCGUACGUCGGGAAGCCGCGCGCCUUGUGCGGACCGCUCGGGCUUUCCUCGUGGGCGCCACACGGCCGUGGGCGGGCUCUCCUGCGGCGGCUGCGGAUCGGCGGGCUGCACCCCCCGCCGCUUCCAGCUCCUCCGAGGCCUCAGUCCUUCCCCGGCCGCCGCCAGCGGACCCGAGGAGGAGCUAGAGGUCCAGCCUCCUGUCUCCAGGCUUGGGUGGGCAAACCGCGGGGACGGCGCGGGCUCUGGCUGCUGCUCCGGCGGACGAGCGGGGCCCGAAACCGCUGGGAGACCGGCCCAGGAGCGGGGCUGCGCGCUCCGCGGUGCGUCCAGAGCCCCGGGAGCCCUCGCCCGGGACCCGGGAACCUCCCGCCGCUGCGCCCUCCUCGGGGCCGCGCGCUCCGGUGCGCGGCGUCGACAGGUGAACGCAAAGGCGGGGUCGGAGCGGGCGCCUCCCGGGAGACCCGUCGCCGAGGGGAAGGCAGCGGGCGGCGCACCACGCCUGAGGUCCCGGAGCCUCGCCGGGCCGGCCCCGACUCCCUCCGGCCCCCUCCCCGCCGGACUCCGCCUGGGUAGCUGCCCUGCAGGAGUGAUGGAGCCCCCAGGAGCGCCGUUCAAACCGGAAGGCCGCCUUUCUCCAUGGUCUUCCCUUCUACUUUGGUCCCUAGUGACGGCUCACAUUGUGGCAUUUCUGAUUCAGGACGCUUUGAAGAAUCAGAGCUUUUCUUUUGGAAAUCUCGACAUUAAAAAACGCUUACCCCUUGGGUUCCGUAAGUGA